ACUUGCCAUCAGAGCACACUGUUUAUCUCAUCUUCUCCUAUUAGCUCCCCCCCACCUUAAGAUUCCUUGUCCUUAACGAAGAACGAAGGAAAUCUAGCUUUCAAAUCAUUAGCAUAGUCUCAAGAAGCAUCUGCUGGAGAAAAACCUCGCCAAUGUAUCAGUAACUGCGUAGUAGCGGCAUUAUGGCGUUUAACCAUUUGACGGUCAAUGAUAGUGUGUGGACAGGCAUCUUGAAAAUGUGAAACUAUUGGAAGUG
rnacentral:misc_RNA from 1 species